AUUGAACGCUGGCGGCAGGCCUAACACAUGCACGUCGAGCGAGCGGCGGACGGGUGAGUAAUGUAUGGGGACUGCCCGAUAGAGGGGGAUAACUACUGGAAACGGUAGCUAAUACCGCAUACUAUCGGAUAACCCAUAUGGGAUUAGCUAGUGGGUGAGGUAAUGGCUCACCUAGGCGACGAUCCCUAGCUGGUCUGAGAGGAUGGUCAGAGAUGCUGGAACUGAGACACGUGCAAGAUGCCGACGGAGGCAGCAGGGGGGAAUGUGGCACAAUGGGGGCAAGCCUGAGGCAGCCAUGCCGCGGGUAGGAAGAAUGCGCUAGGGUUGCAAAGUAGUUUCAGUCGGGAGGCGUGACCGACAGAAGAAGCACCGGCUAACUCCGGGCCAGCAGCCGCGGUAAUAC
rnacentral:rRNA from 1 species